UUGGAGGGCAAGUCUGGUGCCAGCAGCCGCGGUAAUUCCAGCUCCAAUAGCGUAUAUUAAAAUUGUUGCAGUUAAAAAGCUCGUAGUUGAAUUUCUGCUGCAUUGCAUUUUCUCCUAUACGAGUUUUUGCAUUGUGGCUUAUUUCGGUUAUAAAAUUUAUUUUAUUUCCGGAUGUUUACUUUGAGAAAAUUAGAGUGCUCAAAGCAGGCUUUUGCCUUGAAUAGUUUAGCAUGGAAUAAUAAAGUAGGACUUUGGUUCUAUUUUGUUGGUUUUAGGUACCAAAGUAAUGGUUAAUAGGAACAGUUGGGGGCAUUCGUAUUUAACUGUCAGAGGUGAAAUUCUUAGAUUUGUUAAAGACGAACUACUGCGAAAGCAUUUGCCAAGGAUGUUUUCAUUAAUCAAGAACGAAAGUUAGGGGAUCGAAGACGAUCAGAUACCGU
rnacentral:rRNA from 1 species